rnacentral:rRNA from 1 species
UACGGAAGGUCCGGGCGUUAUCCGGAUUUAUUGGGUUUAAAGGGAGCGCAGGCGGGCUAUUAAGCGUGACGUGAAAUGUAGAUGCUCAACAUCUGAACUGCGUCGCGAACUGGUUGCCUUGAGUGCAUUCGACGUCAGCGGAAUUUGUGGUGUAGCGGUGAAAUGCUUAGAUAUCACGAAGAACUCCGAUUGCGAAGGCAGCUGACGAGACUGUAACUGACGCUAAAGCUCGAAAGUGCGGGUAU